UGAGGUGUGGCUCAGUGGUAGAGCACCUGCCUAGCAUGCAGGAGUCCCUGGGUUCCAGGCAUAUAAU
rnacentral:tRNA from 1 species